UUCACAACGUCAUUUGGGCAUUCGGUAAGGUUAUCAAUAUCAGCUAAGUAUACGCUUCCACCUCCCGGGAGAACACUCAGAAUGGAGUACUCCUCGUUUAUCUUGAGUGGUUCGCCGUCCAUGUCCAGCACGUGAGGGAAUACAAUAUUCCCAUUAUUAUCAGAAAUGGAAAAUUCAUGAGAAAAGGCAACCAAACUUGAAACCAAUAUAUUACUAAUACUCUUCUUCAUCUUUAAUUUGUUUNNNNNNNNNNNNNNNNNNNNNNNNNNNNNNNNNNNNNNNNNNNNNNNNNNNNNNNNNNNNNNNNNNNNNNNNNNNNNNNNNNNNNNNNNNNNNNNNNNNNNNNNNNNNNNNNNNNNNNNNNNNNNNNNNNNNNNNNNNNNNNNNNNNNNNNNNNNNNNNNNNNNNNNNNNNUAAAGUUCCCAGUUUUAUUUUCUCAAUUUUUAUUGUAGUAAAAAAGUUGAGAAAUUAACAUUGUCAAUUUAAUUUUUGUAGUUAAGAAAUUUUAUGAUUUCGUGGAUAGUCAUAAGUUCGAACUUUUGUAGCUAUUGCUAGAUAUUAGCCCUGACUAGCUUUUAAAUUCAUAGCUAAAAUUUAGUAGUAAAGUUCCCAGUUUUAUUUUCUCAAUUUUUAUUGUAGUAAAAAAGUUGAGAAAUUAACAUUGUCAAUUUAAUUUUUGUAGUUAAGAAAUUUUAUGAUUUCGUGGAUAGUCAUAAGUUCGAACUUUUGUAGCUAUUGCUAGAUAUUAGCCCUGACUAGCUUUUAAAUUCAUAGCUAAAAUUUAGUAGUAAAGUUCCCAGUUUUAUUUUCUCAAUUUUUAUUGUAGUAAAAAAGUUGAGAAAUUAACAUUGUCAAUUUAAUUUUUGUAGUUAAGAAAUUUUAUGAUUUCGUGGAUAGUCAUAAGUUCGAACUUUUGUAGCUAUUGCUAGAUAUUAGCCCUGACUAGCUUUUAAAUUCAUAGCUAAAAUUUAGUAGUAAAGUUCCCAGUUUUAUUUUCUCAACUUCAAUUAUAUAGUAAUAAAGUUGAGAAAUAACGGUCACAUUAAUUUUUAUAGCUAAGAAAGUUAAUGAAAUUGUGGAUAGUCAUGAAACUCGAAUUUUUGUAGCUUUUACAAGACCAUCCUUAGAAGUGUUUUUUUAUUAAAUUUGAAAGAACUUAAAAUAAGUUAUUCAAACAUAUUCUAACUUGUAAUAUUUUAAUUUAUGAUGCUUACAAUUAAAUUCUAACUUAUAAUAUUUUAAUUUAUACAUCAUAAGUUAAAGCUAAAUUUUUUGGAAACUGUAAUAUUUUAUUACCAGAUUUGCAAUAUGUACAAAAUUGGAAACUCCGGAUGUGGACAGUUUCCACUCUCAGAGUCCAUCUAAUUCAAAAGAGUUCCUCCUUGCUAGUACUAUUCUAAGGAUAGAAGUUUAGCUUUUGCGUAAAACCUAUAAAAAGUUAAAGCUAAAUUAAAUAGGCUCUUGGUUAACUAUAUACUAGUAAAAGGUGUCCGUGCUAGCACGGGUUCAAUAUCUUAAUAUUUUUUAUUCUAAUAGACUUCUUCAUCUUUGAUCUUUGUUUGUGUGUUUUACUUGCUACGAGUCUAUCUCCAAUUUAUAGACCUGCUAAGGGCAUUUUUGACAAACAAAAAAUGACCUUUUAUUUUAGGUUAUAAUAACCUAAAGAAAAGUAACAUAUUUUUUUUUAAUUUAAAAGUAAGGACUAUAUAUAUACUGUGUUGUAACGUCUAAAUUGGAUCAGACCACCAAUAUGAAUAGUAUUGAGCAAAUUUUAUCUUGAUAUUUUAAUUAUAUAUUCACCGUUCAAUAUAUAUAUAUAUUAACUCCAACCACCAAGGAUACAAGUUUCCUAAAUGGUGGAGGAUUGGACAUAGAUCCCUACCAUGUAUAUUACUAAGCAAUAACACCGUUCAAUAUAGAUAACAGGCUAACAACCACAAAUGAAUAUUAAUGUCCCAGCGAAACCGCACAUGCAUGAGAUUAUCCCAUGACUGAGGGUGUGUUUGGUAGGGAGGAAAAGACCUGUAGGAAUGUUGGUAAAAAAAGGGUGCAGAAAUAAAAUAAAAAAGAUGUUUUGCCAAGAAAAAAAAAUGCGAAUGAAGAACAAACUAAAACUUGAGAAAAUGGAAGAGUGAGAGAAAAAAUGUGACAACGAAAAGGACCCACAAAUACACUUGUCAAAAAGAGAUUGUUCCCACAUACAACUAAUCUUCAUAUUUUAAUUAUAUAUUUAUAUUCACCAUUCAAUACCGACAACAGGCUAACGAUAACCACAAAUAAUGAAUAUUCGGGACCCAUGAGAUUAUCCCAUAACUAAAACGUGUCAAUGAAGUACAAUGACAAAUUUUACUUUAUGUGGGUUUUCUUCAAAAAAAACAAAAAAUCCAUUCUCUUCCGGCCCGUUUGACCAUGCGAUAUGAAAUCAUGAUAUGGUAUCAUAAUAUGGAAUCAUGAGAUGAAAUUGAAGUUUUAUUUGGACAUGCGAUAUGAAAUUUUUGUUUUAUAUAUUUUCUCAUACUCAUAAGAAUCUAUAAGUUGUAAAACUAUUAAAAUAGCCCAAAUUGUUUAUGCAAUCUUAGCAAAUAAACAAAAUUUUAUAAAAUUGCAUAAUAAAUUAUUAUAAAGCUAUUUGUUUCCCACUUAAGUAACUAUUAUAUCACUUUAAUUCAAUUAAAAAAAAUUGAACAUAAAUUGUAGUGAACAAGUCUUUAAUAUAAUCCUCCCACAUAAUACAGACAAUCUCCUCACGUUGAACUUGCAUUUCUCGAUCAUGUGAUCGAGAAGACAAACCAGCAUUGUUACUUUGAGCCAUUUUUUGGUCAAUAUCAUCUCAACUAUAUUUUCAUCAUCAUAGACCAUAAAUAUUUCAUUACUCCUUUUCACAAAUAAUUAUGUAACACUGCACAACCUAUGACAAUUUUCACUUGUGUGUCAAUAUCAUAAUGAUUCAUGCCUUGUUUCAGUAUCUUGAAUCUAUUUUUCAAGCUCCAAAAGUCUGUGGGGUUGUUUUAACAAAAUAUAAACUUGUGAAUCAAUUUUUGUGUUGGUGUCAAUAUCAUAAUGAUUCAUGCCUUGUUUCAGUAUCUUGAAUCUAUUUUUCAAGCUCCAAAAGUCUGUGGGGUUGUUUUAACAAAAUAUAAACUUGUGAAUCAAUUUUUGUGUUGAAAAAAUCUCAAAUCAUGAUAUGGAAUUCCCAUAUAAUUCCAUAUCAUGAUUUUUGGUGAAUAUGGUAUUCCAUCAGCGUAAAAUCGCAUGUCUAAACGUUGAUUCCAUCUCACGAUUUCAUAACGUGAUAUGGUAUCGCAUGGCCAAAUGCCUACUUAUUAAUUGAGAGGGAGUUUGCGUUGCACGAGAUUUGUUUAUGUAUUUUAUAGAAAAAAAGGGUAAAAAAUAUCCUUUAAUUUUGAUUUACUAGUUGAUUAUGUCAUUACCGUUAAAAUGAAGUUAUCUCUGUCGUUAUUAAUUUCAUCAUUUAUGUCCUUCAAUUGGAUGGAAAUCCCAAAUCAUUUAAAAUUGCCUAAUUUAACUUAAAUUAUCCAAUUUUAACCCGACCCGACCCACCUAAUAAUAUAACCCAUUUUGUUCAUCUUCAUUUCUGUACCCUCCCCUUUUUCUCAAUUUCCUCCUCCACGCCGGAAAUCACGAAACCCCCUAUCUCUUCCGACCUCUUUCACCACCAUACAACACUCAACCAGUCACCGUAAACCACUUGGAUAUAAUGUAUUUUGCAAAUUAUAUCUAAUUUUUAUCUCAUAUAUUUCGGUAUCCUGAGAUACAUGUAGUUGGAUGCAUCAAAAUUUAGUAAGAUUCGUAAAUAAGCAAAUUAAAAUAUAUCUAACUAAUUAGCUCCUAAACUAGUGAGAUUUAUGUAAGUUUCUUAUUAUUUAAUUGUAUGCUUGAUUAUGAAUAUUAGUAUUAAAAUUUCACAUUUUUACUAAAUUGGCGGGAUUAACUAUCCAUAAAAAAGAUAUGAUAGCUAAUUCCAAGAAAUAUGAUCCCUGUCUAUCUCAUCUCACCAACCAAACAAUCCCAUAAUGUUUUACAACUGUUUUUAACCAAGAAAGAAGUAUUGAAUGCAUUCCCUCUAUUUGACUAACUAGUAUUAACUAAUACUCAUUUUAAGUUUACUUUAAAGAACCACUUUCAUAUAUGAAAUGGUUUAUUAUCUUGAUUUAUAAAGAUUAAAUUUUUUUGAUGUUUUACUUUGGUAAAUACAUAAGGGUUUUAAAAUAGUAAAUGGGAGGUGGGGCUUCUUAAAAGGUUGAAUCCAUCAAUAGCCUCUUAAGAUUGACCCGAAAUUUUCACUUAGACACCUUAAAUAAGUUUUAUUCAUUUUAAAUACCUAAUAUCAAGCUAUCAUAUUAUGUCACUUUAACACCAUUUUUUUUUACAAUCAACAAAAAUAAAUAUGUAAUAUGAGUUACACUGAAUAACAUGUAAAGUAUCAAAUUAAAUAAAAAUAUUUAUUAUUUGUCUCCAAAAUAAUUCUUAAAUAAUAAGUUUUGAGUAAAAAUAAAAAAAUCAAUUUGUAGGAUUUAUUAUUUAAUUUGGCUUCAACUAGAGUAAUUGGUAAAAUUAAUAAAUAUUACCUGAGAAUAUUGUCCAUUGUUCUUAAAGGACUCUUGAAACUUGACAUCAGGUGGAGAACCAUUCAUGAGAUUAUUGCACUAAUAAAAUUAAGUUGCAACACCUAAUUUUACUUACCAUAAUUAUUAAGAGUAAAAUUUACCUGCAUAUGAUGUAUAUACCAAUCUAAUAUAUACAUAUCAUGUGUUUGAAUUUAUGGUUCAUUUUAUCUAACCUUAAUUAAAUAAGAUUUGUUUUACUUCAUUUUAAUAAUUUAUAUUCACCAUUGAAUAUAAAUAACAGGCUAACAAUUCCAAAAAUUGAUAUUAAUGUGCUAGGAUCGCACGGAGUUAUCAUUAUCCCACAAGUAAAAUAUGUCAAUAAAGUACGAUCGAGAUUUAUACCACUAAUUAUUUUGGUACCAAUCAAGAAUGGAUCUUAAAAAUAAUGGCAAAUCACUAUUAUGCAAAAUGAUUUUUUUAGAUUAUUUUUUUUGACAAAUUAAUGAUUGAAGGAUAGGGUUUGCGUUAUAUGAUAUAUAAAACUUAGUUUUGAAUUUGAGUAAAUUGAGUGUUGAAACUCAAAGAAUAAUUGGGCAAAAUAAAAAAUAAAAAUUGCACUUCAAACACAUAUAACUGAGGUUUUAAUCAAUUUUUAUACACUUCAAUCAAUCAUAUGUACAUUAAAUAAAAAAUAAAAAUAAUGUUAAAUGAGCUUGUUAAAUUUAUUGUUAUUUUGAUAAAUUGAUGAUUUGAGUUUGUUUCAUACGAUUAUAAACCUUAUAAUUUAAAUUCAAACAUAUCUGAAUCAGAUUUGAGUAUUAAAUCAAUUGUUUGGAAGUAGAAACUAAUAAAUAAAGAACCUUGAUUUUUCUUAUUCAUAAUCACAUUAAUAUUACAUCGAGUGGAAUAUAAGCGAUAGAGCACCACAUUGCUACUUGCACUCUGUUUGGAUCAUUGUUAACCAUUGUAUUGUAUUAUAUUGUUACUAUACCUACAAUGUUUGUUUUGAUUGUUACUUAAACUGUAUUGUAUUGUACUGUUAAAUUUCGUUGUUACAUAACAAUGAAAACCCCUAUUUUAUGGAACAACCGAUUUGGUGUGUUCCCAUCGUUACUUAAUUUCUUUUUCCAAUUAUAUCUUUACAUAAUAUUUCAAAAUACUAUUUUACCCUUUACCUUAUAUUAUUUAAUUCUAGUCAAACCUCCUACCCUAGAAUAAUUAAGGAUAUUUUAGUAAAUUUAUAAAUCCUAUCCUAGAAUAAUUAAGGAUAUUUUAGUAAAUUUAUAAAUUACAAUACAGUAUGAUACAAUCAAACCAAACAAUUAAAAUGUUAUUAAACAACAACAAACAAUACGAUCUAGCCAAACAUUGUAUCUACCAUACAAUACAUUACAAUAGAGUACAAUACAAUACAAUAUAUUAUGAAACAAUGGGUAACAAUGAUCCAAACACAGUGUUAGUGGCAUGGGUUCAUUUGCACGUUUUUGUUACAUGAAUAAUAGUAUCUAUUGUCCUUCAAUGUGUGAGACAUAUAAUUAGUAUAGAGACUUGCUAUUUUAACAAAUAAUUAAAAGGUAAGGUUGGUAGACGUUAGCAGAGUAAAUUUCAUCCAAUUUUGUGUUCAUUACCUAAAGUCAUCAUGUAGGAGGUACGUUCAAAAUAAUUAUUCUUUUAAAAGUGAUCAUAUUUUAUCUUAAUCAAAUACAACUUUAACUCCAAUUUUAAAUUUUUGUAAAUAAUACUUCCUCCAUCCAUUUUUAGUUGUUAUGUUGCACUUUUCAAAAAUUAAUUUGAAUUAUUUUCAAAGUUAAAUAGAUUACAUUGAACAUAUUUUAAAUUAAAAAUUUAGAUAUUCAAAAACUAUACGAAAAGUACUAUAAAUUGCAAUUUUUUGCAUAUCAAUCUGAUAAAAAAAAUACAUCGUAAAAUAUUAGUCAAAGUUCUUAUCAUUUAACUCUAAAAAAGAAAACCAUGACAACUAAACAAAGAUGGAGUGAAUAUAAAUAUAUUUAAUUUAACAAACGAAUAAAGAUGAACUUAUAUGCUUUGAUUAUAAAAGUAGUCUAACAUUAUUUGUUUGUAAAAUUUGGAUGCAGUUAAACAUGGUUAUUAAAGAAUCACUUCGACUGUAAUUUAUUAAACGAAUGGCUUGUGAAUAUAUGAUUUGUUAAACACUUUAAUUUAUUAAAAAAAAAUUAUUAUUUUUCGAAAGAAGUACUUUUGAUCUUUUAACAACAAUGCGGCUUUUAUCCAUGGUUAUAGUUAGACGGUUUAGGUUCUCUAUAGAAAAGUUAAAUGUAUGGAACAAAUCAAAUUUAAAUUAAACCUAUUAUUUAGCGAUUGAGACGUAAAAAAUUUUUAUAUGUACAUUGUGAAUCACACAUACUCAAUGAUCCCGUAAAUCUUAAUGAUAAUUUGGAUAAAAGCCACCUAGCUGCUUAGAGGUUUAAUGAUAUAUUUUGGAUGCAUUUGAUAUUCUCUCUAAACACCUUAUCUCUAUUCCCACUUUCUAUAGUUUUCAUCUUCACCAUCCUACACUUUUACUAAUAUUCAUGAUAUGUCUUUUAAUAUUACUUGUUUAAAUUAUAUAGGGAAAAUGCAUAAGUACCCCCAACCUAUGCUCGAAAUCCCAGAGACACUUAUACUAUACUAAGGUCCUAUUACCCUCCCCCCCCCCUCCUAACUUAUUUUAUAAAUAAUUUUCUACCCCUUUUCGGCCUAUGUGGCACUAUCAACCAGAUAGCUUGAAAAAAUUGUCAACACGCGUUGGGCCCAGAAGAUAGUGCCACGUAGGCCAAAAAGGGGUAGAAAAUUAUUUAAUAUAUAUGAUGUAUGUAAUUUUUUAAAUUGUUCAAAGGGUAAAGGGUCAAAUAUGCCCCUAAACUAUUCAAAAAGGUCCAGUUAUACCCUCUGUUUAAAGUUUGGCUCACUCAUGCCCUCGUCGUCCAACUUUUCGUCUAAAUAUGCCCUUAUGGGCGUUAGUUGGCAUGCUGGACAUAUCCAGCUCAUUUUCCAUUUCUUUAACUACCACAUGGAAUUGCCAUGUCAUUUUGACUUUACCACAUGACAUUUAUAUAAAAAUGGAAAGGGAUCAAUUAUGCUCCUAAAAAAUUCGAACCCAUUAACACCUAAUCCGACCCAUAAAUCAACCCCCCCCCCCUCUUUUAAAUAAACUACCCGACCCGUUUUCAACAAUUUUGUUUAAAUUUUUAUUUUUUUCGGUAAAUCCUGAAAAUUAGUAAUUGAUAAUAAAAAAUAGGAAAAAUAUAAAAUUAACACCAAAAAUUCACAAAUAAAUAUUGUAACCUUAAAUUCAACAAUUUUUAAAAUUUUGUUUUUUUUUGGUACAUUCCAAAAAUGAGUAAUUGAUUAAUAAAAAAUAUGAAAAAUAUGAAAAAAAAAAAUAAAAUUAACGCCAAAAAAUCACAAAUAAAUAUUGUAACCUUAAAUUCAAAAAUUUCAACAAUUUUUUUUAAUUUUUAUUUUUUUUAAUAAAAUACUCAUUUUCGGAAUUUGUNNNNNNNNNNNNNNNNNNNNNNNNNNNNNNNNNNNNNNNNNNNNNNNNNNNNNNNNNNNNNNNNNNNNNNNNNNNNNNNNNNNNNNNNNNNNNNNNNNNNNNNNNNNNNNNNNNNNNNNNNNNNNNNNNNNNNNNNNNNNNNNNNNNNNNNNNNNNNNNNNNNNNNNNNNNNNNNNNNNNNNNNNNNNNNNNNNNNNNNNNNNNNNNNNNNNNNNNNNNNNNNNNNNNNNNNNNNNNNNNNNNNNNNNNNNNNNNNNNNNNNNNNNNNNNNNNNNNNNNNNNNNNNNNNNUAUUUUUUUCAUAUUUUUCCUAUUUUUUAUUAAUCAAUUACUAAUUUUCGAGAUUUAUCAAAAAAACAAAAAUUUAAACAAAAUUGUUGAAAACAAGUCGGGUAGUUUAUUUAAAAGGGGGGUUGAUUUAUGGGUCGGAUUAGGUGUUUAUGGGUUUGAAUUUUUUUAGGGGCAUAAUUGAUCCCUUUCCAUUUUUCAUAUAAAUGUCAUGUGGUAAAGUCAAAAUGGCAUGGCAAUUCCAUGUGACAUUUAAAGAAAUGAAAAAUGAGUUGGAUAUGUCCAGCAGACCAACUAACGCCCAUAAGGGCAGAUUUAGACGAAAAGUUGGAUGGCGAGGGCAUGAGUGAGCCAAACUUUAAACGGAGGGUAUAUCUAGACCUUUCCGAAUAGUUUAGGGGCAAUUUGACCCUUUACCCUUGUUCAAAAUACAAAUAAUUAGAAAACCACGCAAAUAUAUAUAUAUAUAUAUAUAUAUAUAAUACAUUCAAUUAAAAUCACAAACGUCAUAUACAAAUAAACGACUCACAUUUCAAAUUGUAUUGAUUUGUAUUGGAUUUAUUUAGUAACAAAACUCUCUCUAAAUAAUUUGUAAGCUAAUUUAUUUAAAUAAAUUUACUAGUACAAACAUAAAUCAUAAAAUCAAGAAAAUAAACAAAAUAAUUAAAAUAGAUUUGAGGGAUAUUUUUGUUCUUUACAUAGACUUAUCCCAUGGUAUUAUAUCCUAUAAUACCAUGUAGGAGGUAUAACUAAUCCAUGGAUUAGUUAUACAUAGGCUCAAAAUCCUACCAAAUAUAGUACUAAAUAAUACCUUACAUAAUACAUGGACUAUUUCUUCUAAUGUGGCCUACCAAACGACCCCUAAAAGGAUUACACAGCUAAAGACAUAAAAUUUACAUUAAAAAAUGCAAAUUCAUGAAGUUUGGGAGGUGGGGGUUAAUGUUUCAAUUAUUAAUUAAUUCUAUUUUAAUUCACUCAAUUUACUCCAUGCACUACAAAAAAUACGGGUUUUAGCAACACGUAAAACCGUGGCUAACACGACUUUGCCAUAGUCAUUUAGCCACCGUGGCUAUAACGGGUGCCACCAACAAAUUUGCCACGGUUUAGGCGACCGUGGUAACAUUUUGUUAGCCACGAUUUGAUGUGAAAAUAGUCACGGUUGAUCGUGGCGAAAUAUCACCAAUGAAAAUGUUCAUAAUAUAUAUUUACCAUGGUUGAACCGUGGCUAAAUACACUUUUUUAAUUAAAAAAAAAUUUCAAUUAUUUCCCAGCAAUACCCUGCAACCAAUGCAUUAUUUGAUAGGCAUCCACUAAUACACUGACCAUAAUACACAAAUCCUAUGCUCAAGAUGGUAUUUUUUAUUAACUGGACACAUAUCAAUUCAACGAGAAUCUAAGGUGCUUAUUGAAGGAACUAAAUAUACAUUGGCAUCCAUAAAUAUUUGAAGUGCCAAGGCAUAUGGUAUCUCUUUCAGGGUCUGUUUUCCUUCAUUUGCCUUAAGCUCAACAAUUCUCCUAAAAGAUUCGAAAGUAACGAUGCAAUAAGUUAGACCUCACAACAGUGAUAAACCUCAAUCAUACAACGCAUGUUAGAUUCCUUAUUUAUGCCAACAAUUAGAUAAACUAAUUUAAAUAGAUAGUUUUUUCCAAGGGAAACUCUUUAUUAACUGAAUAUGAUGUUUCAUUUGUCAUAUCCAAGUGGAUACAUGGAUUACAAAGAAAAUGGGAUUACAUAGGUCAAUCAAUGUUGAGGUGCCUCUUAAUUUAAAAAAUCAGCUGCAGCAGGAUGUAGACACACAUUUACAAAAUUGAAUAAUUGCACAUUAAAGGCAUAAAAUUUGUAGGCUAUCAUAUACGAUGAAAACAUAUGUCAAACGAACAAAGAAAUAUCAGCAAGAACCCAGUACAUACUCAACAAAUUCCACAGAGAAAUCCAAGAUCAACAGUUUGACAAAUGUCAAGAGGUAGUAUCAGAUAUACAUUUAGAAUAAAGGAGAAAAAAAGAUAUGAGUAGGCAUACAUCUUUAUUUUUUUUAAUAAGAUAGGCAUACAUCAAUUUUUCUCAAUUUGGACGGAGAGGGCACUUUCUGUUCUCAUCAGUCCCAUCAAAUGAGUGGAAGAUAUUGGUAAAAUCAUUCCGGAGGGCUGAAAUUUUAGUUAUGUUUAUUGUUAUCAAAGGUUAAAAGCACCAAAAGAAUAGUUGUUUUGUGAGAUGCCAAACAAUAUGCAACACAAUUGAUAAGCAUUGUACCUUGAAGAAAUCAUAUACAUGAUACUUGAACACCGAAUGAUAUGAUGAGUAACGAUCUGUAACAAAUUCUUUUAGCUGAAAUUAAGCUCCCAAGAACUACAAACCAGCAAAUAAAACAGAUUAGGAUUAUAGGAGAGCACACACAAUCAGUUCAUAUGUUAGAGACAUAACACAUAUUUUCAAAACAAGUAAGAUGAGAGAAUUACAAGUAAAACAAAGUGAAAAAAAGUUAAAUCCACCAAAUAUUUAGUGAAUAAGGAAAGCAACCUUGUAAUCAUAUGUGUUUUAGAUAAGCAUGAUUAGAGAAAUAUGCAAAAAAAAUUGAUAAUGUAUUUUUAGGAGAUUUAUUGCAGGCAUGAACCACAAUUGCAAUAACAUUGCAUUUCAAGGAAAAGUUUUGCUUAAAAUACCUUCAACCAACCUUUAACUAAAUGAUGGGAACAAGUAGAAGGAUGAUCUAGUCAUGAAACAAGAAUAAAAGAAAAGAGAGAAAAAUACUUUUAGAAUAACUAUAGAAUCGGCACUAUAAUAUACUACUCCCUCUGUUUUUAUUUUAUGUAACUUAGUUUGACGGGCCACAAAGUUAAAGGUGUGUAUAACAUAUCAAAAGUACCCUAUGAAUCUUAUGGUCUUAAAUAACCAGAAAGCUCUAGUGACCAAUUCUAAGAAUUGACAACAUCAAUGGUACUUAGAUAAUGUUCUUAGAGAUUAUACAUUUUCAAGGUGACUGCUAAAACAAAAUAUAAUCAUGAGGCAGAACACUAGAGCAAUCAAGUGGUAUACUCCCAAAUUCAUCUCAUUGUUUUAACAAGUAGAUUUGAUCAAAAGGCUCAAAUUUAAGCUUCAAAGUAUCCAACAAGAUGUUAAAUGCUAAGAACUUGUUUUCAUCUUCAUUUCCACAAACAUGAGCUCACACUUCACAGACAUACACAAACAAAAAAAAUGCAAUAUAAGUCCAUAGAGCCAAAUCAAAAUAAUCAUAUCUGGGCUAGAUUUCAUAUUUACUCAACUUGCUUAUUGAGAAGCAAUAUACUACGUGAAACAAAAUAAAAACAAAGAACUAUAAUCGAGGAUGAAACAUGGGAACAACAUGACACUUAACACAAAUGCAAUUCAAUAGUCGUACCAAUUCAAGAUAUUGUUGGAAAAUGGUCAUGCUGUGUAAAUACAGGGAAAAUGCUUCUCACUCAAUUCCUGUUAUAUUGUUAUAAGAUAUACACAUUUUUUUAUCCUUAUGUAUUCAAGUGUCACAUUGAUAAUUUACACUAUUGCAUCGUAGGAUGCAAUUCAUAUCAAAUGAGGAAACAAACCUAAACAAAUAUGUCCAGUGCUUAAAUGUGAGGAUGCGAUGGAGCUGGAGGGAUGAAAACAACCUAUCAAGUCAACAGAUAAAAUGCUAUACUGAAGAUAAAAUAAACUUUUAAAGAAAAGAAUACUAUAGAUAGGCAAGCUAAUGUUUUAUACGAUUAAAUCAUUCUAGACAUAAAACAAGAAGUUAGGUCAACGAAAAAACACAUAUAUAUUAAUGUAUUUCAUAAUUUUCUGAAGUGUUUCCCAAAAGACAAUCGUACAUUAUACAACCAAUACUAGUGGUGUCACCUACUCAAUAGACCGAGAAAUAUGAGGCUCUAAAACUCUUAAUUAUAUUCAAAGUCUUCCUAUACUUGGCAAGCUGAUUUUCAAUAAACAUUGAACAAUUAACAUUUAUUUACCUUAGUGGAGCUUGAGAAACCAAUCUCCUUUACGGUAUUUUUAGAGAAUCAUAACAGAGCUUCAGAACUGGACCCAAGUCAUAACAGAGCAAAAGUUGAAAAUUAACAAUCAAGAAACCUAAAUUAGUAAAAAUAUUCAAAAAAAAAAAACAUGCAGAAAUUUGAACAAUAAAACAUCAAAAGUUAUAGAAAUUUUAGAGAUUACAAAACAUUAAUUUUCUUUUGUAUUCAUGCAUGGGUUGGGGUGAAAGGGGGAAUUUGGGUUACCAAACAGUUUCUUUACUCGAGAUUUUUCAAAUUUUUGUACUAAAAAAACCUCAAAGAAACCAUUGAAUAUUGAACAAACUAUUGACUUGAAACUCCUGGAUAGCAAAGAUUUGUUACAUGAAAAAAGUGAAUUUACCAUUUCCGCUACUAUUCGAAGCAAGGCUACAAUAUUCUGCUAUUGUUCGAACCAUUCAAAAAAAUUUGGAGUGAAGCAAAUUAGUGUGAUUUUGGAUGAAGCUAAUUUUGGGUGAAGAAUUUUUUUGGGUAAAACAGAUUUGUGUGAUUUUGGAUGAAGUAGGAUUUUGGGUGAAGUAGAUUUGGGUGAUUCUCGAUGAAAAAAAGUUUUGGCUGAUUUUGGUUGAAAAGAAAUAGGGGCAAAUGAAAUAAAAAGUGAGGGAAUGAAAUUAUAUUACCUGCCUAAUUUGCCCACGUUAUUUUAGCAUCGUUCUCUUAUUCGUAGGAAACAUUAACACUUCCUAUUAAUUUUGCCACGGUUUUUAGAACUGUGGCUAAUAAACCGUAGCUAGAACUCAUUUUUUGGUAGUGAUGUAAGAGAGUUGCACUAAUUCGAGCUAAAUAGGUAGUCGAUCUAGAUUGACUCACGACUGGGCUGACUCUUACUUUAAAAUAAUUAAGGCAUAUGCCUUAGGUUCUUAAUUAGAGGUGUACAAAAUCGAACCAAAAACUGAAUCAAACCGCAAAUUGAGUCAAACCGGAAAAAAAACCCGACUAGUGGUUUGGUUUGAGUUGGUUUGGUAUUGGAAAAAAACAACCCGAUUAUAUUUGGGUUGGUUUGAUUUUAACUAAAAAAAACCAACCCGACAUUAUAUAUGCAAUUUUAAAAUUUUAUUUUAUACAUAAAAAUAUUUAUUUUGAUAUAAUUUUAAAAUAUUUCUUAUACUAUUUCAUAGUUUUUAUCUUUUAAUAUAUUAUUUCAAAUUUAAAACUUAGAAUUUGGAAUGGUCCAAUAGAGAUUAUAGUUGAUAGAUGUUAAUAAUUAUAAUAAAACUUAAAUCAAAAUCAAAUUAAUACUAAUGCAAAAAAUAAUCAAUUCAACACUAGAAUGACAAUAAUAUUGAAUAUUUGUUCUUUAGUUUUACAUUGGUUUAGACAAUUAAAUUACAUAAUCUAAUUUUAAUUUUACUUAAAUAUUCAGUAAUGUAACUAUUACUUAUUAAACUAAUUUUAGCAUGAUUUAGUACUUUUAAAUUAUGAUCAUUUUCAUUAUGACUUUGCAAUAUUUAUUUUAUAUGAUGAUUUCAUUAUUAUUUUUAUUGAAUAUUCGCAUCUCAUAUUUGUGUUAUUUUCUUAAGAAAUACCUUAGAUAAUUGUAUUUUGGUUGUACUAAAUAAAGAAAUAUUUGGAGCACAAGUUAAUUAUAUGUUUGUAUGCAAACUUUACCGAAAAAAAUCCAAAAAUCUGAAAAAAAUUCAAGGUUUAUUAGUUUGGUUUGAUUUAUAAAUUUAAAAAUUUGACACAAUGAUUUGGUUUGAUAUUUGGAAAACCCGAACGAACCCGAGGUUAAAAAACCCAAAAAAAUCUGAAUUUUAUUAGUUUGGUUUGGUUUAAAAAUUUAAAAAUUUUACAAAAAUGGUUUGGUUUGAUAUUUGAAAAACCCGAACCAACCCGGUCUUGUACACCCCUUCUCUUAAUUUUGGAGGGAUUAAUUUUUUACUAAGAAUAAAUGAUGUGCUAGUUUUUUUAUUUAUAGAAAAAUGAUAGUUAUUUUAUUCUCUUAACCCUAUAAAAAUAGAAGAAAUCAAGAAAAUGUUAACAUAACUACUAUAAAAACAACUUUUAGUGGAAAUGAAUAGAUCACAUUAAUAAAGAGUGCUAAAGUAUUUACCGGCAUUAGUUAAGUGUCAUUAGAUCCAAUGUCGCUAAAGACUUUAGGGACAUAUACAAAGAGUGCUAAUUGUCGCUAAAAAUACAUAUUUAGCGGCAAUUGAGCUAUUGCCGUUAGUUGCCACUAAAGAUCAUUUUUCAUGUAGUGUCCGUCCAACAAUAGUUAUCCAUUAUACUAUUUUGGAAUGUCAAACAAUACUUGUUCACUCUAUGAAAUCAAUGGAUAAUUUUACACUUAGUUACUAAUUUACCCUUAUCUUUAAUUAUAGUAAUUUUCUCUAUUACAUUUUUUAAGACACUAUAUUUAUUAUAUUCAAAGGGUGAUAUAGUAAAAUCAUCCUACUAUUUAUAGUUUCUUAAGAAGUGUACAAUGUCAGUAGUGGACAACUAUUAUUGGACAGGGAGAAUAAUAAUAUGUUUCAAACUUGUUUUACACAAAUUUAAAAAGCAUUUAUAUUUUUAAAAAAUAGGGUCUUUGGCUAGGGUGCUUCUCUGACUCAUAAUUAAUGGCAUACACAACAUUCAUAGCUAUGACAGUCUUCGGUCUUCCGCCCAAGUAACAUUUAGACUUACCAGGGUUGUGGUGCACUGGUAGGAGUGUUUCACCCUUAAUCAUAGGUCUUGGAUUCGAGCUUUGAGUAUAGAGAAAAUUUUGUUGAGAGCGUCACAUUCGAAUAGGCCCUGCAGAGCGCAAUCCAAAUUUAGUCGGAGGUGAAUUUCGAACAUCGAGUGAGAAAAAAAAACAUUUAGACUUAGUAAGAGUUGGAUGGACAGCUCGUUUCAUGGCCCAUAAUUUAGCUAUCUUAAACCCAAUUCAUUUCCUUCCGUCCAAGUAAUAUUUAGAUUGAAUCAUAAACUUAUUCAUUUAUCAUAUCAUUAUAAUUCAAUCCGUCCCCAUAUCUGACACCCACCCUUUAUUAUAUGGUUAAGCAUGAAAAUAUGUAUGGAUCACAAUUCACACAUAGAAACACAAAUUAAAUGUAUAUAUAGGAUAUGCAUGAUAAUUAAAGGAGAUGCAUAUUCGAACAUAGCUAGCUAGCUAGCUUGUUUUAUUCAUAACUCAUAAGCAUGCAUUAAUUAAAAUUACCUAGAGCCUGGAGACGCAUCCACUUUAAUUUAUUCCUUAACGAAGACAAUGGGAAGAGCUAGGGUUUUCACCGGAAGCCACGAGAGGAUAUAAUCCGUAAUCAAAAGUCAAGCUCACACAAUUAAGUUGAGGGGAAUCCGUACAAUACAUUAACUUGUAUGCAUUUUCCAAUUCUUGUUCCUCCGACGUCUCAUAUUUCAAAAUCAUUGUUUAGAGGCUUCAUAGACGGAUAGUUAUAGUUCUUUAGUCUUAUUCAUUUCAGAUAUUGUUUAAAAACUUGAGUUUGCCUUAUUGGCUAGUUGAAUGCUUUCUUAUUAACAUUCUUAAGUUAUAUGGGUUUAUCUCUGUUAAGUUAAACUGAGUAAGUAAGUCAGGCCAAGGAUUCGCUUGGGGUCAGCAAUGGUUAUCUAGUGCCAGUCCUGCCGCGUGACACAAACACAAAUUAAAUGUAUUGCAUAUGAUAAUUAAAGGACGUAUUCGAAGAUAGUAGCUUGUUUUAUUCAUAACUCAUAAGCAUACAUUAAUUAAAAUUACAUGGAGCGUGGAAACGCGAUUGAACGAUCCACAUUAAUUUAUUCCUUAAGGAAGACAACGGGAAGAGGGUUUUUACCGUCAGCCACCAGACGAUGUAAUCCAUUAUGAAAAGUCAAGCUGACAUGUUUACACAUUAUAAGUUGAGGGGGAUCCGGACAAUACAUUAACUUGUAUACAUUUUCCAAUUCUUGUACCUCAUGUUUCAUAAUCUUGAACAAGUAAUUGCUUUCAUUUCCUAUGGUACCACCAGUCACCACGAACUGAUCUUUAUCAUCACUAACUUUCCAAAUAGCUAGUUUCGUUAAAACACGGACUAGAUAGAUAUAUCAAGUGUUGAGAACAUGAUAUCAAUGUCAUCCGUUUCACGCACCACAUCAUCAUCAUUAUCAACCAUAAGAACGAAUUUCACGGGGGUGCCUUUUCCUAUCAAACCGGGAAUCGGUACGUGCUGCAACAUGGUGUUAGGGCAUUCAAGGUGUCCAAUAUUGGCCAAGUAUACGGAUCCGCCUCCAAUGAGAGGAUUAUGAAUAAUGUACUUUUCACCAAUGUACGUAGUGUGGUAGGCGGUCCAUGUCCAACACUUGAGGAGCUACAUCAUCAUCAUCAUCAUCAUUAAUAUUAUUAUUAUUAUGAGUAGUUGUGGGGAGGACAAUGGGAUUGUUGGAAGUGAAAGAUCGACAAAAGGCAACAAAGGGAAACAAAGAGAGUAAGAGGAAACUCAAAAUAUUAAUCAACUUCAUCUUUAAUUUGAGUGUGUUGUGUGUAUAUUUUGCUUACUCUAUCUCCAAUUUAUAGACCACCACAUGUAUGUAACAACAUUUUUGAGAAACAAAAAAUGCCUACCUUUUAGGUUAGGUUAGUGACAUGAUUUAUUAACUAGAUCUAAUUAUAAGUAGUAUAAAGACUUUCUAUUUUAACAAUGAAUUAAAAUAUAUAUAUAUAUUGUUAGAAAACAUAAGCAAUGUGGAGAAAUUUUCUGUGUAUUUCUUCAUGAAAAAAAUCACUGUGCAGCCUUCUAGUAUAUAUACAAAUUCUAUUCUAUCCUAAAUUGUGUGAACUAUGAAAUUAAUGCAAUAUGUAUUUACACUUGUCAUUUCAUUAUUGGUCUUCUUCUAACAAACUCCAAACGGCUGUCAUGUGCCAUACAUGUGCUAUGGUUGAGAAAUAUCUAGAAUUAUACAUUUGUACCAUACAGCUGGAUGGCUCUGAUUAAUUUGAUUCAAUAAGAGAUCUUUGCCCCUGAUGUUGCCACGCGUCCUUUAGACCUUUUUGUAUGCCUAUGUUGUUUUUGUCCGAAACUAGGAGAACUUUGAACAUUGUUUCCUUUCAUCAUCUCCUUAUUUUUACUUUUUCUGUAAACUCACCAUGGCCAUAAUCAUGAUGUUCUUGAUUAUCGACACCCCUUCAAGGUGAAGGGAAAGAAACGACACCCAACUUGGAAAGAAUCGAGAAGUGUGAAGGACCAGAGAGAGCCUUUGUGAACAGAUUAGCCAACUGAGCAGAGGAUGGAACAAAAGAUAGAGAGAUCAACCCGGAAAGGAAUUGUUGUCUCACGAAGUGGCAAUCAACCUCAACAUGCUUGGUUCGUUCGUGAAACAUCGAAUUUUUUGCAAUAUAAAUAGCAGCUUGGCUGUCAGAGUGAAGAGGCACAUGCAAUGAUGGAUAAAUGGAUAGAUCUACAAGAAGUCAGGUUAACCAGGUAAGUACCGCAAUAACUCUCCUCAUAGACCUGUAUUCUAAUUCAGCGGAAGAUAGUGAAAUAAAGGCUUGUUUCUUGGACUUCCAAGAAACUGGUGAGCCACCAAGGCUAAUAAAGAAACCACUAAUAGAUCUCCGACUAUCUCGACAAGAUGCCCAGUCAGCAUCACAUAAAGCAAUCAGGAAAAAUGAUGAUGUAGGAUUGAAGAACUGACCUUGGUCUGGAUUGAGUCGUAGAUAUCUCAACACUCGAAGUGCAGUAUCAAAAUGGCCCUGACACGGCUGUUGCAUAAAUUGACUAAGAGUGAUGACUAAGAAUGAAAGGUCUGGCCGUGUAUGUGUGAGAUAGUUCAAUUUAUCCACUAAUCUCCUGUAAAUGGAAGGAUCUGCAAGUAAAGGACAUGAUGAACUAGUGAGCUUAGAACAAGGGUCAAGUGGAGAGGAGACUGUAGGUAGAGAUGUGCAAUCAAAUUCUUGUAACAAAUCUAGUGUGAAUUUUCGCUAACCAAUAAUACAACCAUGUUCUCCUCUUAAAAUUUCCAUGCCAAGAAAAUAAUGAAGCUCCCCUAAGUCCUUGAUUUGGAAUUUAGAGUUGAGAAAAUCCUUCAUAGUGGCAGUUUCAAUAGGAUCAUCCCCGGUAAUCAAAAUAUCAUUAACGUAGACAACAAUAAUUGAAAUCAGAUCCCCUGUUUUGUUGAAAAACAAAGAAUAGUCAUUAAGAGAUAUUGUAUAUCCUUUAAAAGUCAGGGCUCCUGCAAGCUUGACAUGCCAUUGCCUUGAAGCUUGUUUGAGCCCAUAUAGUGACUUUUGAAGCUGGCAAACAUGAUUGGGACUGGGUGAUGCCAUUCCUGAAGGAAACUUCAUGUAGACUUCCUCUUGAAGGUCGCCAUGAAGAAAAGCAUUAUUAACAUCAAAUUGUGAAAUAGACCAACCUUUCUUGACUGCAAUGGCAAUGAGACACCUAAUGGUUGUCAUUUUGACAACUGGGGAAAAAGUCUCAGUGUAGUCUAUGCCUUUCCUUUGUAUGUCAUCUCUUUUCACAUGUCGUGCCUUAUAUCUUUCAAUUAAUCCAUCAGAAUGUUAUUUAAUUUUGUAUACCCAUUUGCAAGGUAAAGCCUUCUUGCCAGUAGGUAACAACAUGACCUUUCAUGUAUUGUUUUCUUCCAAAGCUAUAAUCUCUUUUUGCAUUGCAAACUGCCAAUUAGGAUCCAAACUAGCUUGUUUGAAACUAGUAGGUUCUGAGUAAGCACUAAUAGAACCAAGGAGAUAUUGAUUCUGUAAGGAUAAAGCUCCAAAAGAAAAAGUAGAUGAGUGCACAGGUUGUGCUAAACAAGUGUCUGAAAUGUUAGUGAGAAACACAUGAUUAUAGACAAAAUCAUUUAGAUAUGCAAGCCUCUUACUUUCCCUGUUAGAUUUUCGGAUAAUAGGUGUGGAAGGGGGUGGAGAUACAAGGAGAAAAGAAGGGGAAAAUGAAGCAUAUGAUUGAGGAGAUGUGCUAGAGGAGGAUGAAGGAAUAUGGAGGGUUGCAGAGUCAAUAGAGGAGUCAGGAGUGAAGGAAGAAAUAGGAAAAAUUGGCUCAGAAUCUGAUUGAAGAUUUGAGAAAGGGCAAAUGUGCUCACAAAAUUGAACAUCUCUAGAUAUAAAGAUCAUUUUAAAUGAUAUGUCAGGAAGUUAGUAUCCUUUUUGGCCCUGUGGGUAGCCCAAAAAUACACAAGCAAUAGCCCUGGGAUCAAACUUGUUUCGAUUACUGCGCAAAGUAGAGGCAUAACAUAGACAACCAAAAGCUUGCAAAAACUUAUAAUCAGGACAUUUCUGAAAAAGAAUCUCAUAAGGGGUUUUCCCAUGAAGUACUCUGGAAGGAAUUUGAUUAAUAAGAAAAGUAGCAGUCAAUAAACAAUCCCCCCCCCCCAGUAGCAUUUAGGAAGUUUGAAUUGAAAAAGUAAAGACUUUGCAAUUUCUAAUAAAUGUCUAUGUUUCCUCUCAACAACCCCAUUUUGUUGAAGUGUAGCAACACAAGAUGUUUGAUGAAUGAUCCCUUUUGACCUCAAAAAUUUUGCUUCAUGUACCCCUUUCCCCAAUUCUAGAGCGUUAUCGGAUCGAAGCUUUUUCACCUUAAGGUCAAAUUGUCUCUCAACCAUGGAUAAAAAAUGUUUCAAAACGGAGAAAGCAUUAAUCUUAGUAGUUAAUAAGUAUGUCCAAGUACCCCUACUAAAAUCAUCAACAAAAGUAAGAAAAUACUUAUAUCCAUGGUAAGUAAGAACUUUGAAAGGUCCCCAAGUGUCCAUAUGAACCAGUUCAAACACCCUUUUAGAAGAAACAUGACUAAUGGAAAAGGGUAAUCUGGUUUGUCUAGCAAGGGGACAUAUGUCACACACACAAGAAUAAUUAGAAGGAAAAGAAAUGAAACUGAAAUUUUUUAUAGCUGAAUAAGGCAAAUCGCCUAGUCUGGCAUGCCAAAGAGCUACAUCAGAAACAACACUAGCAGAAAAAGAAAAACAAAGAUGGACAUUUUUGGAAUCACUUCCUUCUAGUAAAGAAACUACAUUACAUAGAGAUUGAAUACUAGUACUAGAAAUGACAGAUUCUAAAAGAUAAAAAUCCUCUUUAGCUUCACCAAAAUCUUGUUUCAUCUUCAUUGAACGGUCCUGCAUGACACACUUUUCAGGAUUAAAUAAGAGAAAACAACCAAAUUGACUACAGAACCUAUGAACAGACAACAAACUAUAUCUGAAAGAAGGAACAAAAAGAACAUUUUGUAGAACAAGAGUAGGAAAAAUGGCUAUGUUGCCAGUGUGUGUGACCUUAAUCCUGUAAGAAUUAGGUAAAUUUAUAGUGACAGGUGCUGGAUGAGGGACAAGAUUGAGAAAGGAAGUAGGUUCAUAACAUAUGUCUUCAGAAGCCCCUGAGUCUAUGAUCCAAGUCUAAGAGUUAAAAACAGAGAAACAAGAAGUAGAAUAUUAAGUAAUAGUACCAGCCACAACAUUUGCAUUAAUCUCUGAGCUAGUACCAGCUCUAGAAGUGGUCUGUCCUUGUUUGAAAAUCUGUUUCAUAUGUGAAAUUUGACUCUUACUCAGGGAUUGCAGGAAAUGCUCAUCAGAAUCUUCAUAUCCAAUAGGUGAAUGCCCAUAACUAUCCUUAAUAAGUUCUCUAUUCCCAUUGAUAGGUGUUUGAAAUCCUUUAGUGAACUGAAAAUCUUCUUGGUACCCCAUCAAUCUAUAACAGUCAUCUUCUACAUGCCCAGUCUUUAGACAAUGAGUACAACUCACAUUAGGAUUGUAUUUCUUCCUUCUUACUUUUCUUGGAUUCUAAGGUGUAAAAUUCCUUUGAGGAUUUGCUGAAGGCCUUUGUCCCUGAGAUUGCCCACCAGAAUGUUGAAAUCAUCCUCCAGACCUUUGUGAAGACUGACCUGGGUGACCAGGCUUCUGCAUUUGGUUUCCAAGUUUCAUUUGGGAGUUGAAAUUCUUAGCCAUAAAUGAAGAGUUGUUAGGGGAAAAUUGUGGAUUAAUAUAAACUUCUCUCUGAUUGUCAUCCUGAAGCAAGAGAGAGUAAGCAUGGUUGAUUCCUGGCAAAGGAUUCAACAUGAGAAUAUUACCCCUUGCUUGAGCAUAAAGAUCAUUCAACCCCAUAAGAAAUUGAAUUAGCCGCUAAUCUUCAACAAAUUUAGUCAUCUUUUGCUUCCCUGUACACACACAAGGACAUGUACAACCAACAUGAGAGUUGAGAGAAUCCAACUCAUCCCACAGCCUUUUUAAUUUAGUGAAAUACCCUGCUAUAUCAUUGGAUCCUUGCACUAACCCAGUCAUUUCUUUUUGCAUGUGGUAUAAUUUAGCACCAUUCGACUAGCCAAAUCUCUGUUCUACAUCUGUCCAGAGGUCCUUGGCAGUCCUGGAGUAGAUGACAGAGUGAGCUAUAUCCAUGGAUAACGAGUUAAGUAGCCAAGAAGUUACCAUGGCAUUGCAUCUAUACCAAGAAGAAAAAGUGGGUGUUGUGUUCAAAGGCUCUACACAACUACCUUCAAUAAAACUCAGUUUGUUCUUAGCUGACAAAGCAAUUAGGGCAGAUCUCCUCCAUCCCUGGUAACCCCUCACAUCGAAGGUGCUAUUAACAAGAUUCAUACCUGGUACAUCUGAAGCAUGAAGAAAAGAGGAUUACUAAAAUAAAAAAUACUCCCUAUUGCUGUUUGACCUACAGCAAAUAGGAGCUAUAGCAGUAGGAAUGACCCAUUCUGUAUCCAUUAUUUAAAAAGGGGGGAUGAACACAGAAAUUUGUAUAAGAGCAAAAAAUUGUGGAUCUUAAUGCUCUAUACCAUGUUAGAAAACAUAAGCGAUGUGGAGAAAUUUUUUGUGUAUUUCUUCAUGAAAAAAUCACUGUACAUCCUUCUAGUAUAUAUACAAAUUCUAUUCUAUCCUAAAUUGUGUGAACUAUGAAAUUAAUGCAAUAUGUAUUUACACUUGUCAUUUCAUCAUUGGUCUUCUUCUAACAAACUCCAAAUGGUUGUCAUGUGCCAUACGUGUGCUAUGGUUGAGAAAUAUCUAGAAUUGUACAGUUGUACCAUACAGCUGGAUGGCUCUGAUUAAUUUGAUUCAAUAAGAGAUCUUUGCCCCUGAUGUUGCCACGCGUCCUUUGGACCUUUUGUAUGCCUAUGUUGAUUUUGUCCGAAACUAGGAGAACUUUGAACAUUGUUUCCUUUCAUCUCCUUCUUUUCUUUUUCUGUAAAAUCACCAUGGCCAUAAUCAUGAUGUUCUUGAUUCUCAACAUAUAUAUAUAUAUAUAUAUAUAUAGUAUAGCUAAAAGAUUUUGUUUUCAAAUAAUUUAUUAUGAUUAAAAAUUAAUUACUAUUGUUACACUAACUUUUAUUGCGUGACUAAAAUUUCCAAUAGGUCAUAGACUCAUAGACUAUAGUUGUGUGAAAGUCGCGACAGACAACUGUAUAUUCAGUUUUUAUUAUUUUCCUUGUUUUUUCUUGUAAAUUCUUAACUCAACCUAAAAAUGAAAAAUUAAAUAUUUCAUUGCAAAUCUAUAUAAAGUUCCCAGUUUUAUUUUCUCAACUUUUAUUGUAGUAAAGAAGUUGAGAAAUUAGCUUUGUUAUUUUAAUUUCUGUAGCUAAGAUAUUUUAUGAAUUUGGACCACAUAUUAAAUAUGAAUUUAAUUUUUUUAGCUAAGAAAAUUCAUAUAUAAAUAUUUACAGCCUAAUUUGGACACAGUUAUUCAGAGUAGCUCGUACAAAAACAUUGGAAUGUCUCUUUCGGAAUAUUGUAAUUAUGGCUCCAUGGACCACUUAAUAUCACAUAAAAUAAAUCAAUUGAAAUAGAUUCUAGUUUAUAUUUUUUAACUUACAAGUGAUAAGCCAAAAAUUAAGCUAAACACACCCUUUGUCUCUUAUUUUUCUUUUUUAAUUUGUCUAAAAACAAAUUAUUUUAUAUUUAAAUAUAAUUUAACUUUUAAAUUCUCAUAUAUAUUUAAUGAGAUAAUUUAUAAUGACAUAAAUAUUUAAUAUAAUAAUUUUGUACCAAAAAUUUCAUGAAUGAUCACCUAAAACACACCACCUACCGGAACUAAGACAUCCACACACGCAGUGGCGGAUGUAGAGUGUGUCCAGGGGGGUCAUCCGACCCCCCUCGAAAAAAAAUUACACUAUAUAUAUAAGAUUAAUUUUUUGUGUACGUGUAUAUAUUUAAAAUUGAACCCCCUGAGCAUAUGUCAAAGGAGUAGCUCAAUGGUUUAUGGGGUUCAGGAUUUCGCCUAUGUUUUAUUUGAACCCCCUCGAUAGAAUUCCUGCCUCCGCCACUGCACACACGAUAAAUAUAUAAAACUGGUAGAAUACCGACGUGGUAUAAUUCAAUCAAUCCACGUACAAAAUUUUAACCAGGGAGAUGUUUGGAUACUGUAGUGGAACAUCAAAAUAUAAUGCAAAUUAUUUUGUGGAUAUCUGAACUAAAACUAUGAUAUGGAUCAUUCUUUGAAAUUUGAUCACAUAUAAUCUAAUCUCGAUAAUUUGUCAGAAUUGGUUAUAAAUUUUUGAUAGAUUAUUAUAAUUUAUUGUGUGAAAAUUUCACCAGUAUGAUCAUGCUUCAACGUAAAUCUUCAAAAAUAAAUAGAUUUACUUUAUCUUUGAUCCUCAACAUUUAAAGCUCAUUAAAAUCAAACAAUGAUGCUCUUCAAUUUCUUCAACCAAUUGAAACCAAAUAAUGAGAAGGUGGAGAGGAAGACUCUAAAAAAUCGCCAGGAAUUUGAUCAUAAUCUUGACAAGUUGCUGGAAUUUGUUUGGUCCUUCGUUUCGUUGACACAAAGUUUAAAAAUAAAAAGAAAAUGUUUGAAUUUGUUGAUCUAAAAAAAUAUGUCGAAUGUAUUAAAAUGCCCUUUAAUCUUUGUUGUUUUAAACAUGUCACAUGGAAAAUUUUAAUUAAGGAUUUGUUGGAAAGGGUAAUUUUUUAAUAGACUAAAACAAAAAGUAGGUCAAACAAAUUAAAAUCGAGGAAAUAUAAAAUUUUGAUGGAUUGUUAUAAUUUGUUGUGUAAAAAUUUAACCAAUACAUUUUUUGUUUCAAAAUCGGUCCGAAUCAACUUCUAAUUACUCCAAAUUUGAUAUACAACCUUCUCAUAUAAAUCACAACAAAUUUUCAAUUAUUAGAUUCUUUGUAAACCUUCAAAAAUAAAUAGAUACCGUUGAUCUUCCACAAUUUUUCUUAAGCUCAAUAAGAUCCAACAAUUUUUUCAACCAAAUGAAACCAAAUCAUUAAGGAUAACAAUAUAAAUUCAAUGGAACAUUACAUAUAUAAUUCCAAUCACAAAUUAAUAAGCAACGAGAAGGAGAAGAAGAGAAAUAGGAGUUUCCUUGCAUUUCAUGAAGUUUGGGUGAGUUAUUUUGAUUCAAUUAAUUUAGUCUUUCUAAAAGUUGGAAUUAUUCGAGUUAAAUAUAUAAUCUAGAUUGACUUAUAAAUUUUUCCGUACCGAACACACCCUUUGUCUCUUAUUUUUCUUUUAAUUUGACUAUAAACUUAUAUUUUAUAUUUAAAUAUAAUUAAAUUUUAAAAUUUUCAUAUAUCUAUAAUGAGAUAAUUUAUAAUCACAUAAUUAUCUAAAUUUAUUAUUUCUGCACCAUAAAUUUAAAAAAUAUUACUCAAUUUUUUUUAUGUGUAAUCAACUACGAUAUAAAUUAUGACGAAAGGGGUAGCUUUUUAAACUCAAGCAUUUAUGGACCACAAUAUGCAAUGGUCGCCUAACAACAACACCUAUCUGAAUUAAGAUGUCUACAUAUUUAUUUAUUUGUAUUGUUAAGCAAUGACUCUUAGUUUUGAUGUUUUAGAUAGAAAAAUUGUAAACAUUUUGAAUUGGAUGUGAAUUAUUAAUUUCAUACUCAAAUUAUUGAUAGCCUUAAAAAUAUUCAUCUACUUAACUAACUGAACCUAAAAACACCCUUUCAUCCUAUAAACAUACAUGUACGCGUACGUACAUUGGAGCCUCGAUUAAAUCUGGAUCGCCCACCGUAGGGCCAUUUGGGGAUAGCGCUCCCAACAAAAAUUUCUCCAUAUCCAGAGCUCGAACCCAAGAUCUCUGAUUAAGGGUGAAACAGUCUCACCACUGUACCACAACCCAUGUUGGUGGUAGGUUGGGUGAAUUAAUGAGCCCUUAUGUUAAUUUAGUUUAUUUUGAUCUAUUUUAUUUAAAAUUUAGCAAGGAUCGAACAAAUUACCUUUCUAAAUUAUGCAAAAAUUAAUACAAAAAAAUCAAUCACUAUGUUUCUAUUUUUAAAAUAAAAUAAAAUUAUACCACUAAACAAAGUGUCUAUCAAUUUUUUAUUAAAAUAAAAAACUUCAAUAGACAAGUAUUGCCUUUGCCCUUAAUUUGCUAUUAUAAUAUUGUUACCGGAGAAGAUGCAGAUAAGAAAAUUUAUUCCGGCGACCUUAGAGCCCUUACAAAAAGUAGCCAUUGUUUUUAGGGAAAAUUGUAUAUAAUAGCAAACUAUUAAUUCAAAUUAAAUGCUAUAAAUAUACUUUGAUUUAAUUGUACCCUAUAGCAAAUUAUUGCUAUUUUCGCCACUCUCCCUGGUGGAAUCUCGCUCGCCACUCUCGUUUGGCAGUAGUCUUGCUCGCCUCUUUCGCUUUUAUACAAAUACAAAUAUAUAAAAUGUGUUUGUGUUUUAUAAAGCGAGAGAAAAUUGUAUAUAUACAUAUAUUUUUGUUCCCCUCUCUCAGAUCUCGCUUGCCACUCUCCCAAAUCUCGCUCGCCACCCUCGCCUCUCUCGCUUAUACAAACAGAAACGAAAUGUAUAAAUUGCGCUUCUAUUUAUAUAAAGCGAGAGAAAAUUGUAUAUACACAUGCAAUUACAUAUAUCUUCGUCCUAUACACUUAUAAUUAUACAAUACAAAUAUUUCCCUGCCCAGUUUUCUUUUGCCUUUUUCUCUUUCUCGUUUUAUACAUACACAGAUUAUACAAUUGAUCUUUUGUAUACAACUGCUUUCUUUUGUAUAUGUAUAGCGAAUUAUACAACUGCCUUCUUUGUAUAUGUAUAACAAAUUAUACAACUGUUUUUUUGUAUAUGUAUAGCGAAUUAUACAUUUAUAUGUUUGCUAUGGAGCGAAAUUAUGCAAACUUUGCUAUAACAUACAAAUAUGAAUUUUAUGUUUCCUACGUGAAAGUUGCUCUUGUUUUUAUGGAUAAAUCUAUCUCUAUUUUGCUUGCUAUUAAUGAUUAGUCUAUCUCCAAUUUAUACAGCUGCUAAGGGCAUUUUUGACAAACAAAAAAUAGCUACCGACCGCCACCUUUUAGGUUAGUGACAUUAUUUCAUUUAUAAAUUAUAAUGAUUUAAAGAAAAUAAGUACUCUAGUAUAAAGCAUGUAUUUGGCUUAAUUAAUUCUCUUAAAAUUAUCCCCUUAAUUUAUCUAGACAUUUAAAUUCAGACUUGUACCUAUUGAACACUUCUAUUCUUUUAAAUUUGAGCCAUUCUAACAUUUUUUUAACAAUCAACUAAAAAUAUAAGAAAGAGUGAAAUGUACUAGCGGUGACAUGACAAUUUGACAAAUUAAAUAAGUAAAAUUUACAUAAAUCUCAUAGUGUUAAGAACUAAUUAUAUCAUAUCUCUACUCUUUUUCAAAUUACAAAAAUCAUUUAAAUUUAUAGGAUCUUGGAUAUAUUUGAAAAUAUGUAAAUACAUAGUUCAUGGAUUGCGAAUGAUACAUUACUUAAUGGAAGGGAUGUAUUCGAAGGGGAGGGAUGUAUUCGAGAGGGGAUAGGAUGUAUAUGAGAGGGGAUUGAUAUUAGUAAAAAAGUUGAAAAAUUUACAUUGUCAAUUUAAUUUUUGUAGUUAGUACUAGAUAUUAGCCAUGACUAGCUUUUAAAUUCAUAGCUAAAAUUUCCUAAUUUAAUGUCUGAUUUAAAAGUAAAAAUUUAAAAUAAGCCAAUUCAAACAAAAUCUGUACUUACCAAAAAAAAAAAAAUCCAAGCAUUCCAUUCUAGGCGAUAAGAAAAAGGGAACAAGAACACUAUGUCUGCGACUGAUCAACAACAAUUCAGUAAGCCACACGUCCAAACACUAAAGGCAUACUCAAAAACAUAGGAAAAAGUACUUAUAGAGGUUUCUAACAUUAUUCAAUUUGGAGGGCUUGUUUAUGGAUUCUAUUGUGAUUAUUCUACUGUGUUGUAUUAGUCUCCUUGGAUGUUCAUUUUGCUAGAAUAAUCUGAAAGCCACUCGCCUUAAUAUAUUAACAACCACACGCCUUCGCCUUUGUGUAAUAGCCAGACACCUUAAUGUAAGCCAGAGAUCACAAACACAAAACGAUACAUUUAUGAAUCUCAAAUCACUUGGAAAUCACAUGUAAUACCUAAAUAUUGAUUAGUUCUUCAAGUGUAUUUUCUGUUUUUUCUUCCGGUUAAUGUGUAAAUGUAAUGAACAUAACGAAAAAUAAACUAUAGGGUUAAAUUAUCAACGACAAUGGGUAAUAAAACACGAUAGAAACAGAGGAGUGGAGGGGAGCGACGAACCAACCUGAAAGUUUCUUUGUUCUUGGACGUAGUUGCUGCGAUUCAAUUAUAGAUGCUGGAACCACACGCCUUAAUAUAACCUUAAUAUAUAUUAACAGAGGAAUCGAUAAUCAAUUACAUUCAAAAUAGUAGCAGCCAGAGAUCACAAACAUAAAAAUGAUACUUUUAGGAAUCUCAAAUAACUUGGAAAUCACAGAUAAUACCUAAAUAUUGAUCAGUUUAUCAAGUGUAUUUUUUGUUUUUCUUCCAAUUAAUGCAUAAAUAUAAUGAACAUAAUGGAAAAUAGGUUAAGUUCUCAACGACAGAGCAACAGGGGUAAUAAAACAUGAUAGAAAUAGAGGAGUGGAAGAGCGACGAACCAACCUGAAAGUUUCGUUGUUCUUGGAUGUAGUUACUGCGAUUGAAUUAUAGCUGCUGGAAGUAGUUCUUCGAUUCAAUAUAUGUUGCUGGAAGGUCUCUGCUGCUAACGAAUGAAUAUAUGUUGCUUGACGUUGCAGCUCUAAUCGAUUUAGGAUGAUGAAUCCUAAUGUGUGUGGAAGAUCUUUUUAGGAAUACUUUCCUUAUUAGAAGCAUAUAGAGGGUUUUUUUGUUACUAAUGUUUUCCUUAUUGACCAGGAGUUCUUUUUUUCCAGAAAUAAGAGAAUCGCGGGAAAAAAUAUUAAAGGGAAAGCAGGAGUUCUAAUUUUCAGAAAAAGAAGAAGAAGAAGGCUUUUAGUGACUAUUUUUAGAAUUGCUUCUAAAAGUGUACAUAUUGCAUUAAACAUUAGCCGUUAAUAUUUUGCCUCACAUGAAUAUAUUAGCGGCAAUUUGCUUAUUGCCGCAAACCAAUUGUCGCUAAAGUUCAUUUUUGUAGUAGUGUAUUUUUCAACACAUUGAGUUGCUAUCUACAGUUUUACAGCUUUCCAUAUAUUGCAUCUUUUAUUGUUGCUUUAUUCUUGAGUAUCUUGAGUUGAACUGUGCUUCAUCGAGUCGAGUACAUUAUUGUUGAGUUGAGCCUUAUUUCACUGAGUUGAAUAUCUUAUCCCUUGAGUUGAGUAUCAUAUUCUUGAGUUGAGUCGAGUAAGUGAGUUGAGAAGAGGGAAGUAUGUUUCAUUUUUAUUAAGUUCAAGCUUGUGUUUAUGCUUUAGAAUUUCCCUUACAUGCUCGUACAUUUCACGUACUAAGCCAUUUGGCCUGCAUCCUUUCAUGAUGCAGACACAUUUAUAUUCAGGGUCAUCAACAGUGUCACAACCCGAGCCUACACCCUGGACGUGGCCGGCACUCGAGAACCAUUGCUGGUCCCCAAACAAACUCUCAUCCUGGCUGACUACAAGCGAAAAACUGAUUCAAGCAUACAAAGCUUAAAAACUGAAUAAAAUCAAUAACUCAAAUACAAAGCUUUAACUCAAAAUAAAACUCUGAAUAAAAAUAAGAUAUUCAACUCGCCAAAAAAUAGGCAACUUAAGUCUUUAAAAUAUUUAAUAAAAUAAAUGAAUAAUACAGACUUCUCAACUAUACUGACUAUCUAUGAAGCCUCUAACUGAUAAAAAUGGAAGUCGGGACAAGACCCACGACAUCCUGACUAAACUGAAAAGUAAAUGAAAUUCUCCGAAAACAAUGAGGCUCACCAUAGAUAACUCGAACUCCUGGAUGUAUCAACGAAUCUUCUGUUGAUGAUCCUGAAUACCUGUGUCUGCAUCAUGAGAAGAUGCAGGCCAAAUGGCUCAGUAUGUGGAAUGUACGAGCAUGUAAGGGGUAUUCUAAAACAUAAACAUAAGCUUGAAACUUGAUAAAAAGGAAACAUACUUACCUCUUCUCAAACUUACUCAACUCAAGGUAUACUCAAGGAUACUCAAAACUACUCAACUUACUCAAUUCAUAAGUAUUCAAGGAUAAGAUACUCAACUCAGAGAUUAGAUACUCAACUCAAAGAUAUGAUAUUUGACUCAGGUACUCAACUCAAUAUAAAACAACAAUACACAUGCAAUAUAUGGAAAACUUUAUAAAAACAGUAAAACAACUUAGUUCGUUAAAGAAAAUGCAAUAACAAACUCAAUUUUACUUAUAUAAUAAAGAAAUAUAGUUUAUGUGGGAGUUUCUCUAACUGACAACUAUCACUUUAAGAGCUAUAGUGAUGAUACAACACUUUUACCUCACGCUGCCAAGGACCAUUCUAUACCUUGCCAUCAGUAUAGGGACCUAACUUAACUUAGUGGAUCCACUAGUCUAUGCGAAAAGGAUUCAUCUAAAAAGUAUUACCCUUUUCUACCUAUGAUGGCUACAUGGUUUUCAUCAAGACUUGAGUUAAUAGGAAACUCGCAUCCCCAUAUCGGUGCUCAAUACUACUCUCACAAUAUAACUAGCUCAUAUGUUUAGAAACAUAACUCUUUCUGUGUUUUGAGAUUAUUACUCAAANNNNNNNNNNNNNNNNNNNNNNNNNNNNNNNNNNNNNNNNNNNNNNNNNNNNNNNNNNNNNNNNNNNNNNNNNNNNNNNNNNNNNNNNNNNNNNNNNNNNNNNNNNNNNNNNNNNNNNNNNNNNNNNNNNNNNNNNNNNNNNNNNNNNNNNNNNNNNNNNNNNNNNNNNNNNNNNNNNNNNNNNNNNNNNNNNNNNNNNNNNNNNNNNNNNNNNNNNNNNNNNNNNNNNNNNNNNNNNNNNNNNNNNNNNNNNNNNNNNNNNNNNNNNNNNNNNNNNNNNNNNNNNNNNNNNNNNNNNNNNNNNNNNNNNNNNNNNNNNNNNNNNNNNNNNNNNNNNNNNNNNNNNNNNNNNNNNNNNNNNNNNNNNNNNNNNNNNNNNNNNNNNNNNNNNNNNNNNNNNNNNNNNNNNNNNNNNNNNNNNNNNNNNNNNNNNNNNNNNNNNNNNNNNNNNNNNNNNNNNNNNNNNNNNNNNNNNNNNNNNNNNNNNNNNNNNNNNNNNNNNNNNNNNNNNNNNNNNNNNNNNNNNNNNUUCAUGGGUAAUAGGUAAUAGUCCCAUGAUUAGGAUUAUAAUCUCGGAAGGGUUAGAAACUCAAUACUUAAGACUUAGGACAUGGGGACAUUAAUCCUCUCAUAGAUACUAAACUUAUGGAGUUCAUGCGGAAUUUAUGGGCAUGAACGACUUGACUCGUAGGUCUACANNNNNNNNNNNNNNNNNNNGUAUACAACUCUUCUCAUUCUCAUACUUACUUUCUCAAAAUUUAGUUCAAAUCAAUAGUUGAUCUCAAAUGGUUCACAACCGAACUCAAAGGCUUUCUUGAACUCUACUCUUAACUCGAUCUCUUAAAUGUGAAUUAUGAAUUCAAGAGUUAUGGUUCAUGCUAUGAAAGAUUUCAUGAUGACAAAGUAUACUCAUGAAUACAUUCUCCUCACUCUCAUGCUCACUUACUCGAAUCUUGAAACAAGUUACUAGAAGUUGUAGAAGACUCCACAAAAGGACUCAAAGGGACUUUCUUAGAAUGUUUUAAAAAAAUCUCAAAACUUAACUCUUAGCUCUACCUUGAAUUUGAAUUAUGAAUUCAAGGUUAUGAUCAUGUUAUGAAUGAUUUCUAGGUGUGUAGAAGUAGUUUAAAGUGUUUAGAAUCAAAGGGGAGUAAAGGUACCCUUUGAAAUAACUCAAACGGACGAAACGAUGGACAACGGGUGGGGGCAGGCGACCCUGGUGCUCUGAGUGGCGUGGGGUGCCAGCCCCUAAAGUUCAGAGAGGUGGUUGGGGCGCUCUGCUUGGCGUGACACGCCAGGCCCCAACCCAUAAAACUUUGACGACUUUCCAUGCUCGUUUUCUCACCCUAACUCGCCUAAAAUUGAACGAUUUCCUCCCCAAACACUUGGAUUUGAUUACUUAACAUUAUUACACUCUCAUAUACUCAAAAAAACACUCAAAUUACUAAAUUUCAUCUGAAGAAAUCAUCAAAACCCCAACACAACAAUAUUUAGAAUGAACUUUAAGAACACUUAUCAAGAACUCAUCAAAAACUCUAAUCUGUCAACUUUAAGAAUGAAAUUUGCGCUGAAAAUAACAUGAUUGGCAUGUGGGUGAACUAACCCAACACUAUGGAAGCUUACAUACCUCUUAGGGAUCAAACCCAUGGCGAAAAUCCGCUACAACACGCAAGAAUCUCGACGAACGCUUGAUCCUCUCCUCUUUUCUCCUCUUCUCUCUUCUUUUCUCUUCUUGAACUCUCAACUAAAAUCCUAGGCUAAUUUUAGGAUUAUAAAACUGAACCUAAUAGGAUUAGACCCUUAAAAUAUUACUAAAAAUGAAUUAAAUCAGAGUUGGUAAGGAAAAGACCAAAAUACCCUUCUCUAUUUUCGGCUAACUUUCCUUAACUAAAUAGCCUAUCUUCAAAAGGUCAUAUCUCACUCAUCCGACCUCAAAACUUAGCAAACUCGGCUGUGUUGGAAAGAUAAUUCAAAGAUCUUUCCUACGGUAUCUAGUUGAACACAUAAAUCAUCCUGAGAUAGGAGUUAUGAUCGUUUGAAGUCGACCCAAAACUCAUACUUAGCUUAACUUGCAAAAUUUCAGAUUUUUCUAUUUCCAAUUUAAUUCUUUUUGGAACUCAAGGUGCUACAUCUAGUGACCUUAACACUUAAGAAAUUUUAAUUCCUCGGUAAAAUCCUACUCACAACGAAGGAUGGUUUCAAGUCUCAGUUCGAAAAAAAUUCUGGGGUAUUACAAUAUCUCCCCCUUGGGAUCAUUCGUCCUCGAAUAACGACUGGACUGUGUAUGGAAUGGGUUACUCUUACUAAGGUCUGCGUCUAAUGCUAGGCAUUUGCAUUUGGUUUAAUUGAUAUGAGCCGACUGUUAGCUUAGGAAUUUCCCUCCAGUCAUGAUACAUAUGAGCUUCGUUAGAAUUAACGUGUUUAGCUAAUGCAUCUGCAAUUUGAUUAACUUCUCUAUGACAAUGAUUUACUUCAAAAUUCAUCUUCGCAACAACUUGUAAGAUGUCUUCCACAACACCUUUGAUCUUCAAUUGACGCUUGUCCAUUCCUUACCAUAUCAACCACCAUUUUUUAGUCUAAUUCAAGAUAGCAAUCGUGAAAUCCUUGUUGUGGAUGAUGAUAUCUAAAUAUAGAUACCCUUAAUUACAUCAAGCACGUUGCCAUAAAAUAAACAUAAAGUAAGUAUUGUACACCAAAUAAAAAAAUAUUCAGCGCAAGUAGAAUCCAAAAUGGCUUAUUUUGGCUUGACACGGAGUUUAAAAAAAUAUUUGAAUCAUGUGAUCUAAAAAAAAGAUAUGUCGAAUCAUGAAUGUAUCAAAAUGACCUUUUAAUUUUGUGGUCUUAAAAUGUCAUGUAGAAAGUUGAAAUUAAAGAAUUGCUAAAAAGGAAAAAGGUCAUGUUUAUUUUAAAUGAAUUAAAAAAGAAAAUAGCUCAAAUAAAUUGAAACAUAGAGAAUAUAAAAUUUUGACGGAUUGUUGUAAUUUGUUGUGUAAAAAUUUAACCAAUACGUUUUUUGUUUCCAAGUUGGUCCAAAAUCCAAAUCAACUUCGAAUUGCUCCGAAAUUUGAUAUGCAACCUUCUCAUAUAAAUCACAACAACUCUUCAAUUAUUAGAUUCAAUCUAAAUCUUCAAAAAUACAUAAAUGUCUUCAAUAUUCAACAAAACAAAUUGUUAGAGUUAUCUUAUCAAUAAUAUAAUUCAUUACUAUUUAGUAUCUAAACUCUUAGCUCGUCUCAUCCCAAUAUUACUUUGGGCAGAUCAUUUUCCUACUCGAUCAUCUAAACUCCUAGGUUUUUUUCCCUUAUAUAUAUGAUGAUGCGAUCUCCUUUUGUAUUACUAUUAAUUUUGUAACAAGUAACUAUAUCGAGACGAUUGGUUAACAACAAAAACAAAAGUAACCCAAACUUAAAAAGAAACCACAAACUGAAGAAAUUUAUGUAUUUUUGAAUGAAGAAGGUAAGGUAAGGUAAUAGGCUAAUUGCUAGCUUGUUUAUUUAUUGAUAAGCAUACAUUAAUUUACAUGGAGCGAUAGAAGGAUAUAUCCACUUUAUUUAGAAAGCUGCAAGCUAGCCAGCUAAUUAGCAUUCUACGCCUUGAUGAACACAAAUGGAAUAAAGUCCUUAUCGUCAUCGACAGUCACCAGACGAGGAUAUCCAUUUUUAAAGUUGCCGCCGAUAUUUUUGCACUGAAGAUGAGAGGGACAAUGCAGUAACUUGUAUACAUUUUUGGAACUUCCUGGUGUCACCAAGUCAAUUUUCCUAAUCUUGAAGAUGUCGUUUUCAUUUCCUACCUUACCACCAGUUACCACCAACUGUUCAUCAUCAACUUUCCAAACAGUUUGGUCAACACACAACUUUGUUGUUUUAACAAAGAACUUGAUAUAAACAGCAGUCAUUUGACGCACCACAUCACCAUAAUCCGACUCCGACUUACGAACGAAUACGACGGGCGUGCCUUUUCCCAAAAAUUGGGGAAUUGACAUGUGCUGCAACACGGCGUUUGGGCAUUGAAGGUUUCCAAUAUUGUACAAGUAUACGGCUCCGGCCCCGAUGAGAGGAUUGUUAAUAAUGUACCUCUCGCCAAUCCUCAGCGGAUCGCCGUCUUGGUCAUAAACUUCAGGGAGUACAAGAUUAUCAUCAUCAUGACAAGUUGUGGGGAGGACAAUUGGAUUCUCAGAAGUGAAAGAUCGAGCAAAGGCAACCAAAGAGAGGGUACUUGAAAGCAAGAGGAAACUCAAAAUAUUAAUCGACUUCAUCUUUCUUUGUGUGUUUUGCCUGCUAUGAGUCUAUGUCCAAUUUAUAGACCUGCUAAGGGCAUUUUUGACAAACAAAAAAUGAAUACCUACUACCGCCUUAGACACCUCAAAUAAGUUUUAUUCAUUUUAAAUAACUAAUAUUAAGUCACUCUUAACACUUUUCUUUUUUUACUAUCAACAAAAAUAUAUAGUACAUAAUAUGUGUUACACAGAAUAAUAUGUAAAGUAUCAAAUUAAAUAAAGACAUUUCUUAUUUGUCUCCAAAAUAAAUCUUAAAUAAUAAAUUUUUAGUAAAAAUAAAAAAUGGCCAAUAAUUCAAUUUGUAGGAUAUUUAUUAUUUAAUUUGGCUUCAACUAGAGUAGUCGGUAAAAUUAAUAAAUAUUACUUGAGAAUAUUGUCCAUUGUGCUUAAAGGACUCUUGAAACUUGACAUCCAGUGGAGAACCAUUCAUGGGAUUAUUGCACUAAUAAAAUUAAGUUGCAACACCUAAUUUUACUUACCAGACUCAUGUACAUAAUUAUUAAGGAUAAAAAAUUUUAUCCGUAUAUAAUGUAUAUACUAACCUAAUAUAUAAAUGACAUGUGUUUGAAUUUAUGGUUCAUUUUACAUAAUUUUAAUUAAAUAACAUUUGUUUUGCUUCAUUUUAAUAAUUUAUAUUCACCACUGAAUACAAAUAACAGGCUAACAAUUCCAAAAAUUGAUAUUAAUAUGCUAGCUGGCAUGGAAUUAUUCCACAAGUAAAAUAUAUCACUGAAGUACGAUUGAGAUUUAUACCACUGAUUAUUUUGUUACCUAUCACGAAUGGAUCUUAAAAAUAAUGGCAAAUCAUUAUUAUGCAAGAUGAUUUUUUUUUUAAUUAUUUUUUUGACAAAUUAAUAAUUGAAGGAUAGGGUUUGCGUUAUCUGAUACAUAGAACUUAGUUUUGAAUUUGAGUAAAUUGAGUGUUGAAACUCAAGAAUAAUUAGGCAAAAUAAAAAUUGCACUUCAAAUACAUAUAACUGAAGUUUUAGUCAUUUUUUAUACACUUCAAUCAUAGGUACAUUCAAUAAAAUUAAAAUAAUGUUAAAUGAGUUUGUUAAAUGUAUUGUUAUUUUGAUAAAUUGAUGAUUCAAGUUUGUUUCAUACGAUUGUAGAUCUGAUCUUCGACUAAAUUCGGAUCGGACUUUGCAGGGCCCAUUCGAAAGGGACACUCCCAACAGGAUUUUUUCCAUACCCAGGGCUCGAACCCGAGACCUCUGGUUAAGGGUGAAGCACUCCCACCAGUGCACCACAACCCAUGUUGGUCCUAAAGUCAUUAUUAUUAAUUAGGUAGGUAUGUUCAAAAUAAUUCUUUAAAAGUGAUCAUAUCCGAUCUUAAUCAAAUACAACUCUAACUCCAAUUUUUAAAUUUUUAAAUAAUACUCCCUCCGUCCCCUUUUAGUUGUUAUGCUGCACUUUUCAAAAAAUCAUUUUUGAAUUAUUUUUCAAUUUUAAUUAGAUUACAUUAAAGAUAUUUUAAAUUAAAAAUUUAGAUAUAUAUUUAAAAGCUAUACGAAAAGUACUAUAAAUUGUAAUUUUUUGCAUAUCAAUAUGAUGAAAAAAUACAUCGUAAAAUAUUAGUCAAAGUUCUUAUUGUUUAACUCUAAAAGAAAGUCAUACAACUAAAAAAAAAUGAAGUGAAUAUAAAUAUAUUUAAUUUUCAUGAUCAAACGCAUACUAAAAUAUAUUAAUCAAGUUGCCAAUCGCCAUAAUGAUGAAAGGAAACAGGUGAAUGCAGCUCAUAUCACUGAAAAUAAAGCACUUUAUACUUCAUCUUUUCAGCACUACCAGCGUAUAAAAAAAAUGAAAAUGUGUAGUUUUCAAGUUUAAUACUAAGAGCCGUAGAGAGUUUAUUUUCGAUAAACUUGAGGGGGAAAAGCAAAAUUAAGGCAUUAACAAAUGAAUAAAGAUGAACUUAUAUGCUUUGAUUAUAAAAGUAGUCUAACAUUAUUUGUUUGUAAAAUUUGGAUGCAGUUAAACAUGGUUAUUAAAGAAUCACUUCGACUGUAUCCACCAGAUCCUAUCAUUGAACGAAUGGCUUGUGAAGAUAUGAUUUGUUAAACAUCUUAAUUUUUCAAUAAAAUAUUUUUUUUUUCAAAAUAAGUACUUUUGAUCUCAUAACAAUAAUGCGGCUUUUAACCAUGCCAGUUAUAGUUAUAUGGGUUGGGUUAUUUAUAGAAAAGUUAAAUGUACGGAACAAACCAAAUUCAAAUUAAACCUAUUAAUUAGCGAUUGAGACGUAAUUAGUUUUAAUAUGUACAUUGUGAAUUACACGUACUCAAUGGUCCCGUAAAUCUUAAUCGUAUUUUGGAUAAAAGCCACCUGGCUGCUUAGAGAUUUAAUAAUUUUGGAUGUAUUUGAUAUUUUCCCUCCGAAGACCUUAUCUUCAGUCUCACUUCUUGUAGUGUCUAUCUUCACCAUCCCACACUUUUUACUUUUAUUAUUGUGUGUUUUAAUAUAUUUAUCUAGAUUAUAUAUAAAUAUUUUUUAUUUACCUACUAUUAUUUAUCUACUAAACAAAUAAGAAUUUUAUUUUCUUGAGGAACAUCUUUCAAAAAGAAUAUUUUCUUUCGUAACGAAUAUAUCCUGAACAACCACAAAUGUUAAUAUCAACAUUUUGGUUUUAAUUGAGUUGAAAUGUUUAGAAAGAAAAACAAAGAAGAAAUGAAAACUAUUAGGCAUACAAAAGUACAAAAUAGUUAACCAAACAACAAUAAUUAAGAUACCAAAAAUGCAAAUAAUAUUCUAGUCAUGGUUUUGUGCUGAAAGUUUUUAGAUAACUUUUAUAUGUACUUCAGUCAUUUUGUCUUGGUUUUAAUAACCUUAGUUAAAAAUGUUUGAAGGUAAAAGUUCUGUAAAAUGCUUGAAAUUUUGCCUUUAUCUAAUUUACAACUUCAGUAAAAAUUGUCUGAAUUUUUUUUUAUGAUGACCUUCACAAAGGCACACCUUAGACAAAAAUGUUUAUAGGUCUAGGUUUUAAAUUGUAAAAUUUCUGCUCCAUAUUAGUUGUUUUAUCUUUUUAAAAAAUAAUUUAUCCAAAAAAAAACUUUCUAAAAAAACUUUACAAACUUAUUUACAGUUUUUAAAAAGAAUUAAUUAUUAUAAGGUUAAAAAGAGAAAAUAAUAAUUAAUUCUCUCCUGAUUUUAUAAAUUAACAAAUAAUUUAAGAAAAAUAAUUUUUAAAAAUAAUGAACGACUAAUAUUGAAUGAACACUAAUCAUCAAAGAAAUUAAAGAAUAAUUAAGUAGCCAAAUUUUCCGUUCUUAUCAUCAACUCUACUUGGAGUUGCACUGUUGCAGGCCAAUAAUGGAUAUAUAUUAUAUACUAAUGUGCCGAUGGGACCAUUAUUAGACCAUAGUUAAAACCGAUAAAGUGAUCCUAUUAAAAUAGUGAAGUAGAGAGGUGUUUUUAAAGUUAUCAAUAGUUCGAAAAUAAAAUUAAUAAUUCAUAUCAAAUUCAGAAGUGUUUUCAUUAUUUUUGUCUAUCAUCUAUUCUCGACUUUUAAAUUUGAGAGUUCAUAAACAAUAUAUGUCCUCUCAGUUUUUAAAUUCGUUCAACUUCACCAUUAUUAACAUUGUGAAAAUUAAUUCAAUGUCAAUUGUCCGUACUAUGGACAAACCCUAAAUUAUUGAAACAAAAGAUUAUACAAUAAAAUUAAUUUAGUACUAAAAAUAGCGUAAAGGGCUGAAACUAACGAACAUGGUUAAAUUAAAAUUGAGGAACAUCGUAUCUUUUUGGCCUAAAAGAUAUUUGAAUACUAUACUAAUAUAUAUCCACCAUUGAAGAUAAAUACCAACAGGCUAACAACCAAGUUAUUUUCAUUUUUGUCAUGCAAUCUUAGCUUGUUAAAGCCAAAAAUGAAUAUUAAUGUCUUGACGGGACCGCACGUGUUACUAUCCCAUAACUAAAAUGGAGUCCGAAACUAAAAGGGGAACAAUUUUUUUCGAAAAUCUCAAAAGGGCAAAUAAAUUAUUUAUGAAACCAAAAUGACAAUAAUUUGUAAUGACAUCUAAAUCAGGGUUUUCGCCGCAAGGCACAGAAAUCCAUGAGCGGUACAACAACUUUUAACCCUGUAAGGCUCAGCCGGCGUGAGCCUUACAAGGCGCAAGGCAGGCUAUUUUUUUUCAAAAAAAAAAGUUUUUAUGGUGUACGGUCCUUAAGGCUACACGUUUGCAAACUCGACCGCCCAUUUUUGUUUGUUAGAUAAAUAAAAAAAUCUGACUAUGUAGUUGAGAUGUUAAAUCAUCCAACUUUAAAUUUAUCUAAAAUGCAGUACCUUUUUUACAAAAUACAAUGUAUUUUAGUCGGUUAUUUUUUUUAAAAAAAAUUAUGCCUUUUGAGUUAUCAAAAUAGGAUUUCUAUUGACCGUAAGCUUAAUUUGAUAAUGCAAAAAAAUUUAAAAUAAAUAAAUUGUAUAUUGUAAGUAAUGCACAUUUCAACACACGUAUGACGCAUGCAUAUUAGGGGUGAAGCUAUAUAGUUCUUAUGACACUUGUUUAAGCUUGGUUUUCUAAAGAAUGUUUGGAUGUAUCGUUUGCUUAAAUAUAAUAUUUAUUUUGAUGAUUAGUUAAAUUUAAUUUAUAUCAUUAAAUUUAUGGAAAAGGGUUAAAAUUGCUCCUAAACUAUGUGAAAUAGAUCACUUAUACCCUCCAUUAUAUUUUGGGAUCAAAAAUAUCCCCGCCGUUAUCCUAGGAGACCACAAAUACCCUCAAGAGUUAAUACCCCAAAUUAUUAGUGAUGUGGCAAGCCACAUGGGACUAAUCCCUCCACCUAAGCAUUGCCAACUAAGAUUCACUACAAAAGAAUUUGACCUUUAGCGGCGACAAUAGUCGCCACAAAAGCCCAGAAAUCGUCACUAAAAGUUUUUAACAUUAAAUUCUAAUUUUGUGUUUUUUUCUUCAUUGUUUUUAAAAAACCAAAAAUGAUAUCGAUUAAGUAGGAGUUUUAAGACACUGUAUGUUUUAUUUUUAUGUCAUAUGUAAAUGUAUAAAAUGUACAAUGAUGCAUUAUAUAGUAGGAGAUUUGAAUCGAGAAGUAAUUUUGAUGAUUUUUCGUAAUAAUAUUGGAUAUUUUUAAUAUUGAUAUUUCAAAGUUAUUUAUUUUAGAAAAUUAGGUUGCAAUCAAAAAUUAAUUAUCAUAUUUUUUUGUUGAAAAAAUAGGUUUUACUAGCGAAUGGUUGUUGGAGCCUUAGUCGCCACUAAAAAUCACUAAUAACCUUUAGUGACAAUAUUUUGGGAUUUUGUGGCAACUUUGUCGCCACUAAAGGUCAAAUUCUUUUGUAGUGAAUCUUAGUUGGCAAUGCUUAGGUGGAGGGAUUAGUCCCAUGUGGCUUGCCACAUCACUAAUAAUUUGGGGUGUUAACUCUUGAGGGUAUUUGUGGUCUCCUAGGAUAACGGUGGGAAUAUUUUUGAUCCCAAAAUGUAAUGGAGGGUAUAAGUGGUCUAUUUCACAUAGUUUAUUUAGGGGCAAUUUUGAUCCUUUUCCGUUAAAUUUAUUAUUAGGUAAUAAUGUGAUUUUUCAUUUUGUGUAAUGGUUGAUUUAGUAUGAAUGUAUGGUCAUAAUAUUUUUUUUUGUUUUGUUUUACUUACUAUUUAAUAAUUGUAUUUUAUUGUUUUUUUAUAGUAAAUCUACUCCGUACUUUAUUUUUCUGGUGUGUUUAUCUUUUUAAUUUUUUUGACAUUAUGUAAUUAUCGAAAAAGAUACAAUUUAAUAUAACAUAAUAUAAUAUAUUAUAAAAUGACAUGUAACAACCAUCCAAACAAAGUAUAAAUAUAUAGUUUCAUCAAAAGUUAUGGUGAUAAAAUGGUAAAUUUCGUAGUGAGGUUUAGAUUCGAAUUAUAACAACGAAGUCACUUUCUAAUAAAUAAUAUUUUAUACCUUUAACAUGAGUUUUUUUUUAAAAAAAAUUGAACUCAGAUGCGGAAUCUCAAUACGAAUAUUGAGCCUAAAAAGUACUCUAUAAAAGAAGUUCAUAAAUAAAUAGUCCAUUUAAUGGCAAAUUUUUAUCCUUUUGUCAAUAAAAAAAAGUCCAUGAAUAAUCUUUUCCCAUAUUUGGUAUUGCAUUUUAGUUCUAAAUUAAACACCUUUUUACCUGAUUUGAUUACAAAUAUAUAAUAAAUUACUUGAAUCAUCAAAGAAAAAUUUGCACAUUAAUUAAUCAGAACCGACAUACUUAGGAAAGAUAUUAUUAGUCAUAGACUCAUAGGACAUGGAUCUUGUUCCAUAAUUACUAGUUAUAAUAACUACUGUAACAUUUAUAUAUUUAAUUAAGCCAAAUAAAUAUAAUCUUUUCCGAUUAUUUUUUAAAAAAAAAAUAGCCUUGCGCCUUGUAAGGCUCAUGGCGGUUGAGCCUUACAAGGCUAAAAGUUGUUGCGCCUUGUAAGGCUCAUGGGUUUCUGUGUCCUUGCGGCGGAAACUCUAAUUGAGACGCCGUUACAAAUUGUUACCCUUUUGAUUUCAUAAAUAAUUCAGUUGCCCUUUUGAAAUUUUUGAAAAUUUCUAUUGCCCUUUUGGUUCUGAAGCCCCCUCAUUUUGAAGUUUUGGUUUCUUAAAUCUUGUUAUCCUUGAAUUUUUCUAGCACUUAAAGUUUUGGUUUCUUAAUUUUUUUUAUUUCUUUCAAUGUAUUAAGUUUCUUUCUAUUUCAUUCUGAUUAAAUUAAAAAAAAACUUUAUUUUACUAUCUUUGUUGUGGUUAAAACUUAAAAAUAAUUAAAUGAAUUCACCUAUUUGAAACAUAAUGACAUGUUUUUCUCAUAUAUUAUUGGAAAAAAUAAUAAUUUUCUUACCGAAUAAAUUAAAUUAUUAUUAUUUUAAUCCAGUAACUUGAACUUAAUGAUGAUUGUGUUUUGAUUGUAUUUGCAUUAGUAAUGAAAUAACUUGGUGAUAUCGAAGAAACAGAGUGAUUGAUUGAAAACAUAUAUAAUAAAAAUAAUAUAUCCUCGGGGAUAUUGGAAAAUUGUUAUACAAAUAAAUUUCUACAACAACAAUAAACAAUGAAACUUCUAGUUCAAUUGAACAUACGAUAAAAUUAACUCCUUGUCAAAGCAACAUAUAAUACACAUUUGCAUUCAUUACAACAGUAUUUUUUGAGCUUUUUCUUUUUUCCAUCCUUAAACCUAAUUUAAGUCUACUGGGCAUGUCUAAUCAAAAUUAAUAUGCAAUUGAUUAAACAUAAAAGGAUCUUAUCCAUGAAAUCCACAUCACGUAAUCAAUAACAAUGCAUAUUACAACUUGGACUUAGUCGUAACUCCAAUACAAACUGAUCAAUAAUGAAUACUAAUGUCGUGACGGUACCGGAUGGGAUUAUCCAUAAGUAAUUAAUACGUAGCACUUAUUAAUUACUAAAACUUAUUUGUUUGAAAGCAGAAAUUAAUAAAUAAAGAACCUAGCUUUUUUAUUCAUCAUAAGCAUUAAUAUUACAUAGAAGCAUGCUCCACAUUAUUUUAGAAAGCGAUCGAGCUAGGUUAUAAUAAGCAUAGAUAAUUAACUAACUAUGCAUCAUUCUUGUUUACUUUGCUAAAGCCAAAGGGAUAAGGCUUGUUAUUGAGAGCCAGACGGGCGUAUCCCUUAUUUUCGUAUAGUCCGACAUCUGCACAAUCAAAUUGGCAUGUUGGACAAAUAUAUUUGACUAGGACAAUACCUUAACUUGUAAGAAUGAGGUCUCCCUGUCUCAUAUUUCUCAAUCUUGAACCAGUUCUCUAUGUUAUUAGGUCCUGGAAAUCCAAAGGUGCCACCAGUUAUAACAAACCUAAGUGGUGAAUGCGUCGGCCCUACGAUGGAAUAAGCAACUUUCCAAACAGUUUCGUUAAUACAUGACUUAGUUGAAGAAGAAGAAGUUGAGAACUUUAUACUAACAUCUUGGUUUUCAGAAACGAAAUGACUUCCAAGUUUCAUAGUAUAAAACAACACAGGUGUGUUGUUAUCAAAUUCACCAGAACUGUCCUGCACAACGCCAUUUGGGCAUUUGGUGUUUCCAAGAUUAGCUAAGUAUACGCUUCCACCGCCAAAGGGAAUACUUAUAAUGGAGUACUCCUCGUCUAUCUUGAGUGGUUCGCCGUCCAUGUCCAGCACGGGAGGGGAUACAACAUUCCCAUUAUUAUCAGAAAUGGAAAAUUCAUGAGAAAAGGCAACCAAACUUGAAACCAACAGGAAACUCAAAAUAUUACUAAUACACUUCUUCAUCUUUAAUUUGUUUGUGUGCUAUGACUCUAUCUCCAAUUUAUAGAGCUGCUAAGGGCAUUUUUGACAAACAAAAAUGACCUUUUAUUUUAGGUUAUAA
rnacentral:lncRNA from 1 species